CUUCCCUUCCCUUCCCUUCCCUUCCCUUCCCUUCCCUUCCCUUUCGUUUUUUUUUUGAGAUCUUUUUCUACGAAAUGAGCAGGAGUAAUAUGAUACCAAAGAAUGCGUUUCUGUAUUGUUUUACUACAGUGUUUCUUAAAAACGAAACAAAUAGCUCUUAACUGAAAAAGGCUGCUCUGCAGUGGUGAUGGCCUCUGACAGAAGAGGAGCAACACCUGGAAAUACUCCAAUCGGUUGAAGUCACAUGGAUCAACACCCAAGAAGUGCUCACACUGUUAAUGUGCUUCAGCUGACAGAUGCGAACAUCUUGAAUAAGUCUGGUCUGACAAGAAUAGAGCCCACUGAAAUGACAGAGGUACAGUGUGUGGCAAUGGAGAGAAAAAAAAAUCACCCACCCUGGUUUUAAUGAAGCAAAACAUUCUUUUAAUGCCAACUGGCUAAUUAGUAACAGGGACAAUUUCUCCCGUGCAGCAUAAUUAUCAGAAACAAGGCCAGAGGGCAGCUCACAUAUCCCAUAAAUGUAAAUAUUCUCUCCAUAUCACAGCAGAGCUUGCCAGGUAGAGAGACAAGAAGAAUAAUCUCAAUUGUCAGCUCUUGUGUGGCUCUAUGCUGAAGUCCACAUUUUCCACGCUCUGGGGAAAUAUCUCCCAGG
rnacentral:lncRNA from 1 species